UACGUAGGGUGCGAGCGUUGUCCGGAAUUACUGGGCGUAAAGAGCUCGUAGGUGGUUUGUCGCGUUGUCCGUGAAAACUCACAACUCAAUUGUGGGCGUGCGGGCGAUACGGGCAGACUGGAGUACUGCAGGGGAGACUGGAAUUCCUGGUGUAGCGGUGGAAUGCGCAGAUAUCAGGAGGAACACCGGUGGCGAAGGCGGGUCUCUGGACAACUCCUGACACUGAGGCACGAAAGCUAGGGGAGCAAACAGG
rnacentral:rRNA from 1 species